AAAUGUAGUUCUUUAUGCAGCCUGUUGUCAACAGCUGACGUGCUCAAGUAUGCUGUAUCUGUAGUUGGAACUGAGUUUGAGCUACGUUCACAAUAAUACUAAACAAUAUUUGUAUCAAUUGCAUUUAUUUAAUGAUACAUGUUUUAUCAAUGAACAUCUCGAAUCUUGCUCUCUGACAACAGAUAUGAUCAAAUGAGAAACAAACAAGUGCCAGCAGUCCUGCCAAUGCCAGAAGGUGGGGAACAUCAGAGCUCUCCUGUCCCUGGAGUGGUCAAGUCCCAGAGCGUGGCCAAACUCAUGGGCCGCCACCAACUGCAGAUUCACUUCUGAGGACAACAUUACACAAAGAUACCACUGGGAUUUAAGUGAACUGGCCUUGAAGAUGGUUGCUUGAUGAUGUAAUUGAACUUCUUGCAACACUGUCAUCAACAUUCAACUGGCUACCUUGUAACUCAAAUGCAGCAUCAACCCUCCUCCCAAUACCUGGCCAGUCUGAUGAACGUCUGCGUUCAUCGUAUCUAUACAUUGUAUAAAAAAUAAACAUUGAACUUAUAAAUGAUG